UACGUAGGAGGCGAGCGUUAUCCAGAUUUACUGGGCGUAAAGCGCGUGUAGGCGGCUGGUUAGGUGUGAUGUGAAAUCCUGGAGCUCAACUCCAGAACUGCCUUCGAUACUGUAGAGCUUGAGUUCGGGAGAGGUGAGUGGAACUGCGAGUGUAGAGGUGAAAUUCGUAGAUAUUCGCAAGAACACCAGUGGCGAAGGCGGCUCACUGGCCCGAUACUGACGCUGAGGUGCGAAAGCGUGGGGAGCAAACAGG
rnacentral:rRNA from 1 species